rnacentral:rRNA from 1 species
GUCCAGACUCCUACGGGAGGCAGCAGUGGGGAAUAUUGCACAAUGGGGGAAACCCUGAUGCAGCGACGCCGCGUGAGCGAUGAAGUAUUUCGGUAUGUAAAGCUCUAUCAGCAGGGAAGAAGAUGACGGUACCUGACUAAGAAGCCCCGGCUAACUACGUGCCAGCAGCCGCGGUAAUACGUAGGGGGCAAGCGUUAUCCGGAUUUACUGGGUGUAAAGGGAGCGUAGACGGCGAUGCAAGCCAGAUGUGAAAGCCCGGGGCUCAACCCCGGGACUGCAUUUGGAACUGUGUGGCUGGAGUGUCGGAGAGGCAGGCGGAAUUCCUAGUGUAGCGGUGAAAUGCGUAGAUAUUAGGAGGAACACCAGUGGCGAAGGCGGCCUGCUGGACGAUGACUGACGUUGGGGCUCGAAAGCGUGGGGAGCAAACAGGAUUAGAUACCCCUGUA